rnacentral:other from 1 species
CGCCGCCUGUGGUGUUCGAUGUGGGCCUGGGUACUCUCGACCCUAAUGUGAAAAACCCAGGAGCGUGGCUCAGCGGCAGCAUUGUGCAAGUCCGCCUCGUAGCGGAAAGCCUUAAAUGCCACGGCCUGCUCCACUUGUUGCUCCGGUUCGAGAGCAGCGGUCUGCAACGGCACAUGCGGGUGGCGC